UUAGAACAGAUUAUUUCGGUAUGAAGUUCUUUAUGACUGAGUGGCGGACGGGUGAGUAACGCGUGGGUAACCUGCCUUGUACUGGGGGAUAGCAGCUGGAAACGGCUGGUAAUACCGCAUAAGCGCACAAUGUUGCAUGACAUGGUGUGAAAAACUCAGGUGGUAUAAGAUGGACCCGCGUCUGAUUAGCUAGUUGGUGAGAUAACAGCCCACCAAGGCGACGAUCAGUAGCCGACCUGAGAGGGUGACCGGCCACAUUGGGACUGAGACACGGCCCAGACUCCUACGGGAGGCAGCAGUGGGGAAUAUUGCACAAUGGAGGAAACUCUGAUGCAGCGACGCCGCGUGAGUGAAGAAGUAAUUCGUUAUGUAAAGCUCUAUCAGCAGGGAAGAUAGUGACGGUACCUGACUAAGAAGCUCCGGCUAAAUACGUGCCAGCAGCCGCGGUAAUACGUAUGGAGCAAGCGUUAUCCGGAUUUACUGGGUGUAAAGGGAGUGUAGGUGGCCAUGCAAGUCAGAAGUGAAAAUCCGGGGCUCAACCCCGGAACUGCUUUUGAAACUGUAAGGCUGGAGUGCAGGAGGGGUGAGUGGAAUU
rnacentral:rRNA from 1 species